ensembl:snoRNA small nucleolar RNA SNORD113/SNORD114 family
UGGAUCAAUGAUGACCAAUUGUGGCAUAUGAUCGUGGAUCAUGACGACACGUCUGGGAGUCUGAGGUCAAC